AUUGAACGCUGGCGGUAGGCUUAACACAUGCAAGUCGAACGGCAACAGGGUGAGAGGUUGUGACGAGGGGCGGACGGGGGCGGAAGGCAGCGGAACAUGCCCAGACGUGGUGGAUAGCGAGGCGAAAGAGAAGCAAACACAGCAUACGACCGCAGGAGGACAGCGGGGGAACGUAAGGCCUCGUGCGAUCUUACGGGCCGGUGUCAGAUUAUGUAGUUGUAGGGGUAAAGGCCCACCAAGCCAACGAUCUGUAGCUGGUCUGAGAGGAUGAGCAGCCACACUGGAACUGAGACACGGCCCAGACUCCUACGGGAGGCAGCAGUGGGGAAUUUUGGACAAUGGGCGCAAGCCUGAUCCAGCCAUGCCGCGUGCGUGAAGAAGGCCUUCGGGUUGUAAAGUGCUUUUGUUCGGAAAGAAAAGCAUCAGGUUAAUACCCCGCGGUAAUGACGGUACCCAAAGAAUAAGCACCGGCUAACUUCGUG
rnacentral:rRNA from 1 species